rnacentral:rRNA from 1 species
UGGGAAUUUGGACAAUGGGCGCAAGCCUGAUCCAGCCAUGCCGCGUGCGGGAAGAAGGCCUUCGGGUUGUAAACCGCUUUUGUCAGGGAAGAAAUCUUCUGAGUUAAUACCUUGGGAGGAUGACGGUACCUGAAGAAUAAGCACCGGCUAACUACGUGCCAGCAGCCGCGGUAAUACGUAGGGUGCAAGCGUUAAUCGGAAUUACUGGGCGCAAAGCGUGCGCAGGCGGUUUUGUAAGACAGAGGUGAAAUCCCCGGGCUCAACCUGGGAACUGCCUUUGUGACUGCAAGGCUUGAGUGCGGCAGAGGGGGAUGGAAUUCCGCGUGUAGCAGUGAAAUGCGUAGAUAUGCGGAGGAACACCGAUGGCGAGGGCAAUCCCCUGGGCCUGCACUGACGCUCAUGCACGAAAGCGUGGGGAGCAAAACAGGAUUAGAUAGCCUGGUAGUCCACGCCCUAAACGAUGUCAACUGGUUGUUGGGAAGGUUCCUUCUCAGUAACGUAGCUAACGCGUGAAGUUGACCGCCUGGGGAGUACGGCCGCAAGGUUGAAACUCAAAUGAAUUGACGGGGUCAUAGCUGUUUCCUG